GUAGGGAAUAUUGGGCAAUGGUCGGAAGACUGACCCAGCCAUGCCGCGUGCAGGAAGACGGCCCUCUGGGUUGUAAACUGCUUUUAUCUGGGAAGAAAAAGGCCAUGCGUGGCAAAUUGCCGGUACCAGAUGAAUAAGCACCGGCUAACUCCGUGCCAGCAGCCGCGGUAAUACGGAGGGUGCGAGCGUUGUCCGGAUUUAUUGGGUUUAAAGGGUGCGUAGGCGGCUGAUUAAGUCAGCGGUGAAAGACUUCGGCUUAACCGGAGCAGUGCCGUUGAUACUGGUUGGCUUGAGUGUCGGAGGGGUACAUGGAAUUGAUGGUGUAGCGGUGAAAUGCAUAGAUACCAUCAGGAACACCGAUAGCGAAGGCAUUGUACAGGCCGACAACUGACGCUGAUGCACGAAAGUGUGGGGAUCGAACAGGAUUAGAAACCCCAGUAGUCC
rnacentral:rRNA from 1 species